rnacentral:rRNA from 1 species
UACGUAGGGAGCAAGCGUUGUCCGGAAUCAUUGGGCGUAAAGCGCGCGUAGGCGGCCCUGUAAGUCCGUUGUGAAAGUCAAAGGCUCAACCUUUGAAAGCCGAUGGAUACUGCAGGGCUAGAGUCCGGAAGAGGCGAGUGGAAUUCCUGGUGUAGCGGUGAAAUGCGCAGAUAUCAGGAGGAACACCUAUUGCGAAGGCAGCUCGCUGGGACGUAACUGACGCUGAGACGCGAAAGCGUGGGGAGCAAACAGG